rnacentral:rRNA from 1 species
AUGUGGCACACAUUGGGCAUGACUUGGAGAGCGAUGCGGGGGUGCACGGGGGAGAAUUCAAGGCGUGCGGCCGCCAUGAAUGCGGGGGAAAGGUGGAGAAUAAAUCCACCCACCCCGCGGUUGGGCCGACGCACUCGGUAUUCGUCUCCUCAAAACACCCCAUCCCAUUUCCACCAGAUCCAUCGGAGAAGAAGAAGUGCGAGGGGAGAGAUGGCGGAGUGGAGGAUGAAGAUGGAGAGAUCCAUGGUCGAGCUUGUCAGUGGGAACGAAGAGAGGUUGGAGAACACCAGGAAGAUCGUUUCUUGGUUCUCUUCCCGGAAGGAGAUGCGUCGUGCAGUGAAGAAGGUGUUCAGGAAUCUGACAGCGGAAGAAGACAUGAGGCUCACUCCGAAUAGCUUCACCACGCCGUCGGGGGCCCCGGUGGGCUCGCUAGCCGCGCUGGUGUGGGCUAUGGAAGAGACAGAGGGUGCGAAUCUGCAGCAGAGGAGGAAGUGGUGGGCGUUCCGCUCGCGCCGCCGCUUCCCCACGGGCCCGGAAGAGAUGGUGGUGGGUGGCGUCAUGGCGAUUCCGGCGCCGGAGAGCCGCCGGACCCUGCUACCUCUCGAGCACUGCGUUGGUUUUUCCUUGAAGAGGAAAGGGUGA